rnacentral:rRNA from 1 species
UACGAAGGGGGCUAGCGUUGCUCGGAAUUACUGGGCGUAAAGCGCACGUAGGCGGAUUGUUAAGUCGGGGGUGAAAUCCUGGAGCUCAACUCCAGAACUGCCUUCGAUACUGGCGAUCUCGAGUUCGGGAGAGGUGAGUGGAACUGCGGGUGUAGAGGUGAAAUUCGUAGAUAUCAGGAAGAACACCUAUGGCGAAGGCAGCUCUCUGGGCCGGUACUGACGCUGAGACGCGAAAGCGUGGGGAGCAAACAGG